ACUCCUACGGGAGGCAGCAGUAAGGAAUUUUCGUCAAUGGGGGAAACCCUGAACGAGCAACGCCGCGUGGAGGAUGAAGGUUUUCGGAUUGUAAACUCCUUUUGUGAGGGACGAUAAUGACGGUACCUCGCGAAUAAGCCCCGGCUAACUCUGUGCCAGCAGCCGCGGUAAUAC
rnacentral:rRNA from 1 species